rnacentral:rRNA from 1 species
AUGGCGACCGGCGCACGGGUGCGUAACGCGUAUGCAACCUACCUGUAACAGGGGGAUAACACUGAGAAAUCGGUACUAAUACCGCAUAACACUAUGAGAGGCAUCUCUUGUGGUUGAAAGUUUCGGCGGUUACAGAUGGGCAUGCGUUGUAUUAGCUGGUUGGUAAGGUAACGGCUUACCAAGGCGACGAUACAUAGGGGGACUGAGAGGUUAACCCCCCACAUCGGUACUGAGACACGGACCAAACUCCUACGGGAGGCAGCAG